rnacentral:lncRNA from 1 species
ACAGAGUAUGGAGCCUUUAACCGAACAACUGUGAUCUGAUCCUCAAACUUUCCUCGACCUCUUCCCAACAUUGCUGCCGAAGAUGAAAGCCACAUGUAAUAGAGUAAUAUUAAAGCCUCCUUUCCUUCCUAAAAGUAAACAAAUACAUACAUAUAUUAAACAAAUAUAUCAAAAACCAGGUGGUAGAUAGUAUACAAAUGAAAUUAAAUUUAUAACUGGAAGCUUAACUUCAUGGAGAGAAUUUUAGACAUUUCAUCAUGAUGGACUCUAGCAGACCUGGCUUCAUGGUGCAUUCAUGCUCUUGUAACUAGCCAAUAUAUUACGGAGCCUUGUUCUGCAUCUUUUAUGUUCAGCUAGAUUGUUUUCCUCCUUACCCCCGCAACCGCCACAUUUUUUCUGCUGACCAACUCUGGUAGACUGUAACAUGGAUCCUGGCUAGUUGAGCAGCAUUGGUUUCAUGUUUCUAAGAGCUUGCUGCUUCCAUUGCAUACACAUGAAAGGGAAAAAAAGAAGGGGAGGCGGUGGUGGGGAUAGCUUCUCAGUAAUAGUCCAUUCCAAAUAAUGUAACCACACUUUUAAAAAAAAACUUAAAUAUCUAUUUAUGGUUAAGCCUCUAUUAGUGCAGCAAUGAAUCAUUUUACAUUAAAAGAAGGAACAUGAAGAUUGAUAAGUACAGCCCUUCCUUUCAAGCAUCAUUCAAGGAAGGAUAGGAAACAGAGAAAGUAGAAUAGGCAUGAGCAAAUGCAUUUAGAAGAAAGCAGCGAGUAUUUAUCUGUUCUUUAGAGGUUCAACACCAUAUCUUGAACCAAUCUACAUUUUAAAUCUAUUUACAAGUACUCAAAUGUGA